UACAUACGGACUGAAUUGUUCGGGAAGGUGUGGAUCUUGUGCUGAGGGACCAACAGUCUGUGAAACCUCAUCCGGGAUCUGUCCGGAAAGACCAGGCCUACCGAGAUGCAUGCCGGGAUACUUCACAGAAAAAUGCGAUACAGAAUGUAACGGUGGCACUUGGGGCGAGGACUGCCAAAAGUCGUGUGGUAACUGUUAUAACGGGACUGCAUGCAACAAGACACACGGCGAAUGUCCCGUUACUGAGGGGAAUCCCCGGUGUUCAGCUGGUUACGUGCCAACAAGCAAAAAGUGUGAUACUCCUUGUGAGAAAGGUACAUACGGACUGAAUUGUUCGGGGAGGUGUGGAUCUUGUGCUGAUGGACCAACAGUUUGUGAAACCUCAUCCGGGAUCUGUCCGGAAAGACCAGGCC